ensembl:lncRNA
GCAUGCUUAUCAGUUUGCCCUUCUCAAACUCACUUUGUUCAUUUGUCCAUUCACUCAAACUUUUCUUGAGAAUCUACUGUGUGCUCAGCACUGACUCUGAGAGCUGUCAAUAAGGAUAGCUCAAAAGAUAGGUUCUAUUGUCAGAUAAGUUUUAGAUACACUCUCCGUGGCAUUGCGUUUCUUUGAACUAUAAUAAGCAUCUUCUGUUUAUCAGGUAGUACCCAUUCUUCUAUAUUACUACAUCUGAGAAAUCCUUUAUUUUAUUCAUAUUUUCCAUAAUUAUUGGAAUUCUUUUUUUCUCCAAGCCCUCUUUCCAUUAUGAAACCGAGUAAUAACACUAGAAUCCUAGAGCAAUGGUUGAAAGAUUAGCUUUGGCAAAUACUGGUGUAAUACGGAGACAGAAUAACAGUUAGAACUAAUCUUGUUACAUAAAUUUCUAAUGGUAAUGCUGAUAGACUGAUAAACCAGAGAACAUUAGUAGGAAUCAAGUGCAUUAUACUUCUUAAACAUGGAUUCCUCAAAGAAUCAAGGUUCUGGAUAUGCCAAGUUUAAAGUCUGGAACCUUUCACUAAUGGGCACAAAACUAAUAAUGUAAACAUUAAUGAUUUAAGUAUUAAAAAUUUAAUUAUUAAUUUAAUUAAAAUAUUAACUACUUUAAAUUUUUAAAAAUAUAAAUCGACCAAUUGAUUCAAUCAGGUAGACUGGAAGGUAAAUUUAUUUCUUCAAAAAGAUCGAUGUGGUGUUUUCUGCUAAGACCUAAUGGCUUUCUUUCAACAAUAUAUCAGACUCUUAAAAAUGCAGAGAUUUGUUAAAUUUUUAGAAUUGAACUUCAGGAAAUUUAUAAUAAAAUUUCAAAACUAGCUAGCCAACAGUUCUAAACAGAUUAAGAUGACAGGAUAUUCCCCAUCUUUUAUUUUUAAAGUUUAAAGUUUUAUUUUUAUUUUUGUUAAGAGUUAAUAUUACAACGAAAUAUAUCUUCUUUGAGUGUCACUUCUCAGGUGCUCAGGAUAAGUGGCAGUCUGAGCUGUCAAUUCAAUUUCUGUUGCUAUCUAGGCUGAAAGGAAAUACAAAUACAUACACAGCAGAAGGUAACAGCAACAAUUAUAUUCCACAGAUCUGUGUAAUUUAUGAAGAAAAGAGGAAUCCAGUUCAGGAAAUGCAUGAAUCUCCUAAAAAAAUCUUCACCAUAGAACUAUUACUAUUAUCUUUCUGAUAUUAUAUUGAAAAUGAAACACAUUCACCAAUUCUCCAAAGGCAAUUUCUCUUCACCUCAAAUAAAUCUCCCUUAUAGGCCAUAUAAAUAGAAUUAAACUGUCACAUAAUGUUUCCAUUUGUUUUCCUGCAGAAUAAACUCAUUACAACCAGCCCAUUAGAAGAUGAUAUUAAAGGAUUUAAUUGCCUGUGCAUAUUAAAUAUGUUUAAAAUUUAUGAAAAUAAACAUUUUCAAAUUGAGUAAAUACACUGCAAUGAUAGAAAUGGGAAUGUGGAUUUAAUGCAAAUUCUUACGGUAAUGCGGAUCCAUAGCACUACCAUGGACUGGAUGUGCCUCCUUGGAGCAUGUAUAGAUGUUCCAGGCCAGAAUCUAAGCCACACAAGGGCAGAAAUCCAUUUGGAGGCACAUGUGGAAUUGCUAAUAGAUUAUAAAUGGCAAUUUAGUCUAUGCAGGCAAUAUCUUUGGAUGAAAUAUUGCAUUUAUGAUAAUCAGGGGAGACUUACAACAAUUAACAUGGUUGGUGUUUUCCAGGGCUGGCCACUGAGCUCAAGGGAGUGUGUGUAUUUGACCUUGUGUCCCUUACACUUUCCGAAUAGCAUGGUUCAUAGUUUCCUGAUGGACAGCUGCCAAUUAUUAAAAGUGUACAAUAUCAUGACAUUCAUCAUUGGAAAUUGGCACCUUUACAUAGUCUCUCUUGGUUCUUAUUUUUUUCCCCAUUCCCCUGCCCUCCCUUCAACCCCUCCACCCCUCCCUAUUUACAAAGACUUUGUUUCCAUUUUUCAUUUUCUCAUAUUAAUUCCAUUCCCUUCUUUCCUUUCCCCUAGCCCUCUCACUUCCCCUUCCCCUUUGCCCCUUUUCUUCCUAUUUCACAUUAUGAUUACAUAAACUUAACCAGGUUUCCAAAUCCUAGAGGUGCCGAGAAAAUUAUUCAUUCCUUUGUUCAGAUUUCUCAAAAACUUCUGGGAGGAGCUUUUAGGUUUUAGCUGUCAGCAACAGGUGAUGGCAAGAAGGAAAACUUGAAACCAUUUUGGAAGCCAGGUAAGUGCUUUGAUCCAAACCCUGUGUUUAUUCUCAAACAAUAUCUAUAAAAAGAUGUUGGAUAUAUUUGUGAGACUGGAACAAAAUUACAAGGAUGAAAUGGACCCAAUCAGAAAAAUCAGGCUUCAGCCUUAACUUUGUGAGGGAGUUCUUUUUUCCCCCCCAAAACAAUUUCUUCAGUUUGAAUGGGAAAAUGAUUGGUUAGUUGAAUCCUAAUUUUCUGUGUAUUCUGAACUGGAGAAAAGGAAUUCAAGGGAGAAAACUUUAAUAAUGCAUACUUAGGGAAAUUUUGAAUUAUAAAUGAGCCAUUCUAAAAAAUAUUUAACCACAGAGAUGUAAAACGUUAAAGAUAUGACUUUUAGAGAACAUUAGGUUUAGAGCCUGGACUGGUGGUGCACGUCUGUAAUCCUAGCACUUGGGAGGCUGAGCCAGGAGGAUCACUGCUAGUUUGAGGCCAGCCUGGGCCACCUAUUGAGUUCAAGUCCAGCCUGAACCACAUAGAGGGACCUUGUCUAACCGCCCCCCCCCAAAACUGAACAAACACCACCCCAAAUUAGGUUUUCUCUGUUCAGUUGGUCUAAAAAAAGCAAAAACUCCAGAAGUGAAGUGAGCCACUUCCCAUCACUUCUACCUUCUUCUAACGGCUGGUCUAGUCCAAGAGACCCGUUUCCUGCCACGUAAGGGGUGCUGGGCCCUACAGCUGACGCGCUCGCUUCUGACUUACACCUUGCCAGGCCGAGUUUACGCUGCGCUUGUUUCUUGCCAUUUCCCCGGGUCGGGUCGUGUCGCUCUCCCUGGACAGAGCUCCGUACUCUGCGGAGGCCGGGCUCCGUUUGGCAGUGAGACCGCCUUGGGGCAGGAGCUUGCUUUGCUUCACUCGGCAAGCAGUGUGGGCCCAGGACUUUCCUCAGGUGGAGGCUCUGUGGAGAAGAACUUCUUCCAGUCGUUUCUGAUUUCCCGAUCGCUCUUUCGGCACCCGGAACCUGGUGGCUGCUCGUGGCUGCUUUUCAAUAAAUCACACCGAUUUGACAACGCUGCUAGCGUAUUGCUCUAACGUCUAGGAAGAGGGUCCAGAGCAAGGUGGUCCCACAGGGGGUUCUGUGAUGAUGAAAAGGAUCCAAUUCGCAAGUCACUUUUUUGAGAAUCUUCUCUUGAGUCUUCAUGUGGCUCAGGAUUCUGCAUUGUUCUUCUUCCAUAUCUUGAACCUCCAGCACGAAGACUCACAAGACUCUUUUGAAGGAUAUUUGUUGAACAAAAGAGUUAUAUUCCACUCUUGGCACAUCGCUGUGAAGCUUAAUUACUGUCUGUCCCUCUAUGGGGUUCUUGAUGCCUUCCCCUGGACCAUAGGCCAAACCCAAAUCCUGAUCCUCUGGCUCCGGAUCUGCCCAACUGAAUCCACCAACCUCUUUUGAAGAAGCUGGGCACUAACCGCACAGCCAGGGUAGAGCUCAGUUGCACCAAGUUACAGUUAGGAAGAACACCCAGAGUUAGCAGGAAGCCACGCUGGCAUGCACAGCCAAGGUCAAAUAUCAACGGCACCGAUUUUGAACCUUAAAUUAAAAGGCUGGAGAAGUAUAAGAGAUUAAGGCUGCAGGUUUUAUUAAGCAUCAGAGAGAAGAGGAAGUGGUAGGGAAUGAUUGACAGUGCUUCAAGGAGACAAAAGGUCAGUAUGGUAUAGCAUUGAGAUGUUGCAGACAGGCAGGGGAUGGAGUCCUUGAAUCAAAAGACUCAGAGGUUCACCAAGUAGCUUCCGAAUGCCCUUGCAUAGCAUUCAUAUUUUUAUUCUACAAUGCUCAUCAAAAGAAACUCAUGAGUCCUCAUUCAUCAUUCAACAUAUAUUUAUUAUAAGGUCAUGUGAGCAGUUAUAUCAUUGUUUAAUUCAUUCAUUCAACAAAUUUACUAUUUGGACUAGAAUCUCUAUUUUGUCACUUACUAGUCAUGUGACCUAUACAAAGUAUUUAACCUCCCUGCCCAGUUCUUUAUCAGUUAAGAGAUGAAUAGUAUUUCUGGGAUUUAUCAUAAGGAUUAAAUGAGUACUGUGAACACUAUGAGACACGUACGGAAAUAUCAACACAUUUCCUGGGCCUAUUUACUAAAUAUUGUGAAUUGGACCAUGGACCCAAAAGUUGGGUUGAAGUUCCAAAUGCAUAUUCAUGAACAGAACCAUGUUUUCAAAUAGGAUUCUUACAAAUGUAAUCAAGUUAAAAUGGGUGCAUCAGAGUGCACUUUAACCCCACAUGACUGGUGUUUUUGUAAGAGGAGUGACAGAGGGAAGACUGCCCUGUGGCUGCUGAAGACACCUGGAGAGUGAGAAGUAGAAGAGCAUCCUCCACCAGAGAUGUCAGAGUGAGCCCGACACUGCCAGCACCUUCUCCCAUAACUUCCAGCCUCCAGCACUGUGCAAGAAUUCACUUCUCCUGUGUUAAGCCACCAGUCUGAGGUAAAGACACCCCUGAUUUACCGAGGCUCGCCUUCACAACUGCAUCAAAGUGAUACGCAUUUGACAGAGUCUGUACCUCCAACUUUGAAUUCUGAUGUCCUCCUGGGUCAGUGAUGUGCAGUACAAACUCUCUCCAGAUGAUGAGAAGUGUCAGUGGCCCUGCAUACCUGUCAGCUGUGUGACCACAAGGGGAAACCAUCAGAGGUCGACUUUGCACUGCGCUGCUCAGCAUGAUGCUUGGUAGGUCAAGUGUAUUUAGUGCAUUUCCACUUAGAAUAUUUUCAACUUAUGACCAGUUCAGGGUGCUUGACCCCAUCAUAUAUUAAGAUGUAAUCCCAUUGUGAGUGAAGGAGAAUUUGUACUUUGAUAGAACACCCCUAAGAGACUAAUACCCUGAGUAGCUACUCUGCUUCGGAGACUCUUCCAGUUUCUGAUGAACAAAUGCCAAAGAGUGUGAAUUUUUUCCUAAGGAUUAUGUGAAACCAUGAGGGAAUGUAUAUGAUCGAAUGUUCAUGUGCAUGGACACAGAGAAGAUGUAGUGCAAGAAAAACGCUGCAGGGAGGAAAAGCAGUUAGGAGGUGGCUGUAGUAGUUCAAGGAAAACAAUGACUCGUGGCCUGAGAAGACAUUGAUAUAGAGAGAAAGUAGGCAUCGAGAAAAUGUUCUGAAGAUGGAAUUCUCAGUUUUGGUGAUAGACAGGGAGAAAAGUAUGAAAGGAGAGGUUUCUGGCCCUAACUGAAUGGCAGUGGAGUCACGUGCAAAGACUGAGAGUGAAGAGGCCUGGGGCCAGAAGAAGAUGCUAAGUGACGCUACACACGUUGGAGUUGAGAUACUGAAAGACAGAGGAGAGAGCCCUGUAGGCAUCUGGAUGAGUUUGGCGUAUGGGUCAAACAGAUCUGAGCAGGAAGUAUAAAUUUGGGAAUUAGCAUGUCGAUGUCAAGUGGAGCACAUUACAUCAUGAAAUCAUAUAAAGCCAGGGAAUGAGUCUUACCUUGUGAAGCAGCUUCAAUCAUGCAAAAAAAAAAAACCCAACAAAACCUUUUCAUACAUAUCCAUGCACAUUUUUCUGGAGUAGACACAGAGCUUUGUUCAGAUUCUCAAAGGCAUCAAUGACUCAAAAAGAAGCUGAGAACUACCAGCAAAAAGUAUGAGCAGAAAAGUGCCCGAGACCAAACACCAAAGCAUCUAAGUUCUAAGAUCACCUUAAAAGAGUAUCUUGACAGGCUGACCAAAUAGGUGGAAGAAAACUCUAGACUCCUAAAUCAAGGCAGCGACAAUUUUUAAGCUAUGCAUACUGGCACCAGUAUCAAAGGGCCAAAAACUCAAAAUACGAGGAGUUAUUGUGAGCUUCUCAAGGGCAAUUUAAAGUGAACUGGUUUGAGCACAAAUCUUUAGGUUGAUGGGUAAAUGACAGGUGAGAGAGGAGACCCUGAAAUUUUUAUAAAAUAAGAAAAUUUUAUCCUUUAAUUAAUUCCAAGAUUAAUAAACAGGAUUUAUUGUGUGUAUUUCAAGAUGGUAAAUUAACUCUCAUUUGUUCCUAUACCUGUUCUCCCUUUAUUUUUCUUAGAAACCCUGUUUAUUUUCCUGUUAUUUUCUUCUGUUUCUUCACUAAAAGGAAAGUCAAAGGAAAAAAAUCUACAAUGAAAAUUGUUAGGCCGACAGAGAAACUAAAAGUAGUAGGAUUCACAUUGGGUACCAAAAUACAAGCUAGUGAAUUUUAAAAAUAAUGUAUGUAUUAAAAUGUAUUUAUAUAGUGUUGUUGUAUAACACACUUCAUAUUUAUGAGUCAGCACUCAAAUGACAGUUGAGUUCAUUUAUAGAGAGACAAUCAUCAGGCUGGACAGGCAAAAAGAUGUAACUUCAAAGGCUUUGAAGAUUCCGGGCAGGAUCCUGGGUUAUAUCUAAAUCGUGUGUGUAUUUUUAUUAUCAACCAAACGAUUUCAGGGCUGCAUCCUGGUGAACUGAAAAACAAGUUGUUCAAAUUUUUGUAUUUCAAAAGAUGGUUAGGCAUCACAGAAACAAACACAUUGUUAUUGUUAAAGACAACUGUUCUUUUUUUUUUUUUUAAUAAAACUAUUCUGUAAAGGGAACGAGGAUAAUGCUGGCAAUGUGGUUUACUUUUCUUUAAAGGGACAUCUCUUCUGUGGAGUCUGUUAUGGCAGAAUUGAGAAUGCUUCCUCCCCGCCUCCACAUUUUACGAUCGUAGUUAGUGUAAAUGCUUAGGUCUGCUCACUGUUUUGCAUGUCCAGUUCUCUCUACUACUUGUUAAGGCUUGGGGGAGGCAGGGAGUGUAUGAAAUUCAUCUUUGUAUUCCCCUAUCAAUAACACAAUAACUGGAACAUUAAAGUGCAUCAAAUGAAUGAAUUUUAAUUAUUUACCCCAAUAUAUCUAAGUUCUGGUUCAUGUCUAGAUGUCCUCCCAAACCUCAAGUGCUCAGAGGUGGGGCUUUUUGGAGAUGAGUGGAUCAUGGGGCUUCUAGCUGAAUUACUGUUGGAAGGAGGGGUCUGGACAGAAGAGGCAGUCACUGUGGGCAUGGCCUGGAAGGGUCUGUCUCCCUUCCUGCUCCUCUUCCAUUUCACUUUGCUGCCAUGCCAUAACCCAUUCUCCUUGCCAUGCCAUUUGCCUUGGAGCCAGUCAAUUAUGUACUGAAAUCUGCAAACCAUGAGCCAAAAUAAACCUCUCCUCCUUUGAGUCAUGGUUGUUGGGUAUUGAGUCCCAGUGAUGGGAAAGUAAUUAAGACAAUCUAUUAAUUGCAUCUUGAGCUUUCAUUUGUGUAAUAAGAAUUGGAAUUUUUCUGUUGCUUCAUUGUUAAAGAUGACUAUUUUUGCAUAAUGCGUUUGGAACAUUAUUAAUAAGACAAUGGAAAAGAAAAUGUCACAAUUCAUUUGAAAUGCAAAGAGCCAAUAAACAGCAGUUAAAUAACAGACAUUAAAUGUUGCACAUAUGUCAAGUAAUAACAAGAAUUCUUUUCCUAGAAUUUGAAACAUUGUUAAGUGCAAUUGGUAUGACAUUAGAAUUUUUUAAGGCUAACACAGGGUCUGAUGUAGAUUAAGAGUUAUGUGCAUUAAAAGAGGAGAGAACAGUGAAUUACCAGAAGCAUUACUACUGACAGAAGACUCUAUAACUUCAAAGCUUGUUAUAUGACAUGACAUGAGUGGUUGAAAUGCAUAUGGCUGGGGAGAUACCAAGAAUAGUUCUCUUGGGUCUCAGUAGUUGCACUUUUUAUAGUGCUCCUCAGGGAUUAUAAAUAGACCCAUUUAGGAAGGAGUUCCUACUACCACACUAAUACAAAGCACAACCAAAGUGUCAACAACAACAAAAACAACAUACAUACAUACCAGUGGAUAAACGCACUGAAUUAGAGAUUUAUUUAGUUUUCCAACUCUAUCUGCAGUAAUGAUGAAAGAGGCAACGAGAAUUUUCAAAGUUGUUCUGAUCAAAUUAUAAUUAACAAUCAUGCAUAGAAAGAGGAAACCUUGUUUCUAUAGUCAUAAAAAUUUAACAUGGCAAGGUUCACUUGGUUAACAUUAAAACACAAAACUGGAUGCCAUGUGUUCACAACUCCUUGUGGAAUUUUAAAAUAUAGAGUGGUGGUUUUAGCUUGCUAUGUAGGGUCACCCAGGUACACAUUCCUGCAAUAUUUAAGAGAUUUUACUAAUAAAUGUCAAGGAGUGAAAGUGAUCAUGUGUAUAUUUAUUAUGUCAUCAUAAUAAAUCUAUGGGGGACCAGACACUGAUAUGACUGUUGUAAUGAUGAGCAAAGAAGAAAUUUUAAAGAUACAAAAUGGGAAUUUUCUAUGGAAAACCACACAAAUAUUUAUCUGCUUAUUGGAAUUCUGAGUGAACUUCUCUAUCAAUGACAUCUGCUGGG